rnacentral:rRNA from 1 species
UGCCAGCAGCCGCGGUAAUACGGAGGGGGUUAGCGUUGUUCGGAAUUACUGGGCGUAAAGCGUGCGUAGGCGGACUUUCAAGUCAGGGGUGAAAUCCCGAGGCUCAACCUCGGAACUGCCUUUGAUACUGAUAGUCUUGAGUCCGAGAGAGGUGAGUGGAAUUCCUAGUGUAGAGGUGAAAUUCGUAGAUAUUAGGAAGAACACCGGCGGCGAAGGCGACGCUCUGGCCUGUUUCUGACGCUGAUGAACGAAAGCUAGGGUAUCAAACGGGAUUAGAUA